rnacentral:rRNA from 1 species
UACGGGGGGGGCAAGCGUUGUUCGGAAUUACUGGGCGUAAAGGGCUCGUAGGCGGUCGCAUAAGUCGGUCGUGAAAUCCCUCGGCUCAACUGAGGAAUGGCGUCCGAAACUGCGCGACUUGAGUGCCGGAGAGGGUGGCGGAAUUCCAGGUGUAGCGGUGAAAUGCGUAGAUAUCUGGAGGAACACCGGUGGCGAAGGCGGCCACCUGGACGGCAACUGACGCUGAGGAGCGAAAGCCAGGGGAGCAAACGGG